GAUGAACGCUGGCGGCGUGCCUAAUACAUGCAAGUCGAGCGAACAGACGAGGAGCUUGCUCCUUUGACGUUAGCGGCGGACGGGUGAGUAACACGUGGAUAACCUACCUAUAAGACUGGGAUAACUUCGGGAAACCGGAGCUAAUACCGGAUAACAUGUUGAACCGCAUGGUUCAACAGUGAAAGACGGUCUUGCUGUCACUUAUAGAUGGAUCCGCGCCGCAUUAGCUAGUUGGUAAGGUACGGCUUACCAAGGCAACGAUGCGUAGCCGACCUGAGAGGGUGAUCGGCCACACUGGAACUGAGACACGGUCCAGACUCCUACGGGAGGCAGCAGUAGGGAAUCUUCCGCAAUGGGCGAAAGCCUGACGGAGCAACGCCGCGUGAGUGAAGAAGGUCUUCGGAUCGUAAAACUCUGUUAUUAGGGAAGAACAAAUGUGUAAGUAACUAUGCACGUCUUGACGGUACCUAAUCAGAAAGCCACGGCUAACUACGUG
rnacentral:rRNA from 1 species